rnacentral:rRNA from 1 species
GAUGAACGCUGGCGGCGUGCCUAACACAUGCAAGUCGAGCGAACCCUUCGGGGUGAGCGGCGGACGGGUGAGUAACGCGUGGGUAACCUGCCCUGUACACACGGAUAACAUACCGAAAGGUAUGCUAAUACGGGAUAACAUAUGAGAGUCGCAUGGCUUUUAUAUCAAAGCUCCGGCGGUACAGGAUGGACCCGCGUCUGAUUAGCUAGUUGGUAAGGUAACGGCUUACCAAGGCAACGAUCAGUAGCCGACCUGAGAGGGUGAUCGGCCACAUUGGAACUGAGACACGGUCCAAACUCCUACGGGAGGCAGCAGUGGGGAAUAUUGCACAAUGGGCGAAAGCCUGAUGCAGCAACGCCGCGUGAGCGAUGAAGGCCUUCGGGUCGUAAAGCUCUGUCCUCAAGGAAGAUAAUGACGGUACUUGAGGAGGAAGCCCCGGCUAACUACGUGCCAGCAGCCGCGGUAAUACGUAGGGGGCUAGCGUUAUCCGGAAUUACUGGGCGUAAAGGGUGCGUAGGCGGUCUUUCAAGCCAGAAGUGAAAGGCUACGGCUCAACCGUAGUAAGCUUUUGGAACUGUAGGACUUGAGUGCAGGAGAGGAGAGUGGAAUUCCUAGUGUAGCGGUGAAAUGCGUAGAUAUUAGGAGGAACACCAGUAGCGAAGGCGGCUCUCUGGACUGUAACUGACGCUGAGGCACGAAAGCGUGGGGAGCAAACAGGAUUAGAUACCCUGGUAGUCCACGCCGUAAACGAUGAGUACUAGGUGUCGGGGGUUACCCCCCUCGGUGCCGCAGCUAACGCAUUAAGUACUCCGCCUGGGAAGUACGCUCGCAAGAGUGAAACUCAAAGGAAUUGACGGGGACCCGCCACAAGUAGCGGAGCAUGUGGUUUAAUUCGAAGCAACGCGAAGAACCUUACCUAAGCUUGACAUCCCACUGACCUCUCCCUAAUCGGAGAUUUCCCUUCGGGGGCAGUGGUGACAGGUGGUGCAUGGUUGUCGUCAGCUCGUGUCGUGAGAUGUUGGGUUAAGUCCCGCAACGAGCGCAACCCUUGCCUUUAGUUGCCAGCAUUAAGUUGGGCACUCUAGAGGGACUGCCGAGGAUAACUCGGAGGAAGGUGGGGAUGACGUCAAAUCAUCAUGCCCCUUAUGCUUAGGGCUACACACGUGCUACAAUGGGUGGUACAGAGGGUUGCCAAGCCGUGAGGUGGAGCUAAUCCCUUAAAGCCAUUCUCAGUUCGGAUUGUAGGCUGAAACUCGCCUACAUGAAGCUGGAGUUACUAGUAAUCGCAGAUCAGAAUGCUGCGGUGAAUGCGUUCCCGGGUCU